UACCAGCACCCCGAGUGGUCGGGACGAUUAUUGGGCCUAAAGCAUCCGUAGCCGGUUUUACAAGUCCUCCGUUAAAUCCAGCUGCUUAACAGAUGGGCUGCGGAGGAUAUUAUAAGACUAGGAGGCAGGAGAGGCAAGCGGUACUCGAUGGGUAGGGGUAAAAUCCGUUGAUCCAUUGAAGACCACCAGUGGCGAAGGCGGCUUGCCAGAACGCGCUCGACGGUGAGGGAUGAAAGCUGGGGGAGCAAACCGG
rnacentral:rRNA from 1 species